rnacentral:misc_RNA from 1 species
AUGAAGAACGCAGCGAAAUGCGAUAAGUAGUGUGAAUUGCAGAAUUCAGUGAAUCAUCGAAUCUUUGAACGCACAUUGCGCCCCUUGGUAUUCCAUGGGGCAUGCCUGUUCGAGCGUCAUUUGUACCUUCAAGCUCUGCUUGGUGUUGGGUGUUUGUCUCGCCUCUGCGCGCAGACUCGCCUCAAAACAAUUGGCAGCCGGCGUAUUGAUUUCGGAGCGCAGUACAUCUCGCGCUUUGCACUCAUAACGACGACGUCCAUAAAGUACAUUUUUUACACUCUUGACCUCGGAUCAGGUAGGGAUACCCGCUGAACUUAAGCAUAUCAAUAAGCGGAGGA